rnacentral:rRNA from 1 species
ACAGCAGUAGCCGCGGGAAAACAGAGGGUGCGAGCGUUAAUCGGAUUUACUGGGCGUAAAGCGUGCGUAGGCGGCUUUUUAAGUCGGAUGUGAAAUCCCUGAGCUUAACUUAGGAAUUGCAUUCGAUACUGGGAAGCUAGAGUAUGGGAGAGGAUGGUAGAAUUCCAGGUGUAGCGGUGAAAUGCGUAGAGAUCUGGAGGAAUACCGAUGGCGAAGGCAGCCAUCUGGCCUAAUACUGACGCUGAGGUACGAAAGCAUGGGGAGCAAACAGGAUUAGAUACCCCCGUAGUCCCUGUCUCUUAUAC